AGACUUUGAUCCUGGCUCAGGACGAACGCUGGCGGCGUGCUUAACACAUGCAAGUCGAACGGUCUACCUCGACAGAAACCUUCGGGUUGAAGACGAGAUCUAGAUAGUGGUGGACGGGUGAGUAACACGUGAAUAAUCUGUCCUCAAGUCCGGGAUAACCAGGCGAAAGUCGGGCUAAUCCGGGGUAAGCUGAAAGCGUGGCAUCACACAAUCAGAAAAGGUGGCUUUGCCAUCGUUUGAGGAGGAGUUCGCGGUAGAUUAGCUAGCUGGUGAGGUAAAGGCUCACCAGGGCAACAAUCUAUAGCUGGUCUGAGAGGACGAUCAGUCACACUGGAACUGAGACACGGUCCAGACUCCCUACGGGAGGCAGCAGUGGGGAAUCUUCCCCAAAGGGGCGAAAAGCCCUGAA
rnacentral:rRNA from 1 species